rnacentral:rRNA from 1 species
GACUACAGGGGUAUCUAAUCCCGUUUGCUACCCUAGCUUUCGCACCUCAGCGUCAGUUAUGGUCCAGUGAGCCGCUUUCGCCACCGGUGUUCCUCCAGAUAUCUACGCAUUUCACCGCUCCACCUGGAGUUCCACUCACCCCUACCAUCCUCGAGUCUGUCAGUAUCAAAUGCUGUUCCCCGGUUGAGCCGGGGGCUUUCACACCUGACUUAACAGACCGCCUACGUGCGCUUUAUGCCCAGUGAUUCCGAACAACGUUUGCAACCUCUGUCUUACCGCGGCUGCUGGCACAGAGUUAGCCGUUGCUUCCUCUCGCUUUAGUCAGCCUUGGCGCUAUUAACACCAAGGUUUUCCUAUAGCGUGACAACAGUUUACAACCCGAAGGCCUUCAUCCUGUACGCGGUGUCGCUCCGUCAGGCUUUCGCCCAUUGCGGAAGAUCCUCGACUGCAGCCCCCCGUAGG